CCUACGGGUGGCAGCAGUGGGGAAUAUUGGGCAAUGGGCGCAAGCCUGACCCAGCAACGCCGCGUGAAGGAAGAAGGCUUUCGGGUUGUAAACUUCUUUUAAGAGGGAAGAGCAGAAGACGGUACCUCUUGAAUAAGCCACGGCUAACUACGUGCCAGCAGCCGCGGUAAUACGUAGGUGGCAAGCGUUGUCCGGAUUUACUGGGUGUAAAGGGCGUGCAGCCGGGAAGACAAGUCAGAUGUGAAAUGUCCGGGCUCAACCCGGGCCUUGCAGCGCGAACUGGCGUGCUUGAGUCCGCGGAAAGCAGGCGGAAUUCGUCGUGUAGCGGUGAAAUGCUUAGAUAUGACGAAGAACCCCGAUUGCGAAGGCAGCUUGCUGCAGCGGAACUGACGCUGAUGCUCGAAAGCGCGGGUAUCGAACAGGAUUAGAUACCCUUGUAGUC
rnacentral:rRNA from 1 species